AUACGGAGGAUGCAAGCGUUAUCCGGAUUUAUUGGGUUUAAAGGGUGCGUAGGCGGGACUGUAAGUCAGGGGUGAAAUACUGCAGCUUAACUGUAGCAUUGCCUUUGAAACUGCCGUUCUUGAGUACAGUUGAGGUAGGCGGAAUGUGGUGUGUAGCGGUGAAAUGCAUAGAUAUACCACAGAACGCCGAUUGCGAAGGCAGCUUACUAAGCUGUUACUGACGCUGAGGCACGAAAGCGUGGGGAUCAAACAGGAUUAGAUACCCUGGUAGUCCACGCUGUAAACGAUGAUUACUGGUUGUUAGCGAUAUAUAGCUAGCGACUGAGCGAAAGCAUUAAGUAAUCCACCUGGGGAGUACGUCGGCAACGAUGAAACUCAAAUGAAUUGGCGGGG
rnacentral:rRNA from 1 species